GAUGAACGCUGGCGGCGUGCCUAAUACAUGCAAGUAGAACGCUGAAGGAAGGAGCUUGCUCUUUCCGGAUGAGUUGCGAACGGGUGAGUAACGCGUAGGUAACCUGCCUGGUAGCGGGGGAUAACUAUUGGAAACGAUAGCUAAUACCGCAUAACAGUAGAUGUUGCAUGAUAUCUACUUAAAAGGUGCAAUUGCACCACUACCAGAUGGACCUGCGUUGUAUUAGCUAGUUGGUGAGGUAACGGCUCACCAAGGCGACGAUACAUAGCCGACCUGAGAGGGUGAUCGGCCACACUGGGACUGAGACACGGCCCAGACUCCUACGGGAGGCAGCAGUAGGGAAUCUUCGGCAAUGGACGGAAGUCUGACCGAGCAACGCCGCCUGAGUGAAGAAGGUUUUCGGAUCGUAAAGCUCUGUUGUAAGAGAAGAACGAGUGUGAGAGUGGAAAGUUCACACUGUGACGGUAUCUUACCAGAAAGAGACGGCUAACUACGUG
rnacentral:rRNA from 1 species